AUGUUAGAAGCGAGCAACAGAUCAAUAUCGUCAAUCAACUAAUAGGAUAUUGUCGAUCCCUUUCCAGCCUCUCGACCUCUCCCCGCCACCUUCCCCUAUCAGGGCGCGAUACUAUACAGCAGCCGCUUCCGGUUAACCGGAAGUGACGCUCUACGGUGACUACUACCGUAUUUCGUCGGAAUAUUAAUACCAAGCAAACGUAGACCAUCAUCACCGCUCCAGACAGGCAUCAUGGAAGUCGCCACCGAACUAAUUUUAUCAAUUGCUGUUGUUGAAUUCGUCUAUCCGUCUGUUAAAAAAUAUAUAUAUGCAGAAGAGGCGGGCCCAUCGAGACGACAUUGACAAGCGGAUGAAGUUUCUUCUUCAGUCACCGUUAUCAGGAUCGGACACACAAUGCAAAAUUACCGAACGAACCUCGUAUUAUCCUCAGGAGCCAAAUAAAAGGCCGCAAACCAGGCAAGAGAAGGUUCGAUCGUGUCUCAAGCACAAUUCGUUGACGAUAUUGACUGUGACCGGUGUAUUCGGCGGUGUGGUUCUCGGUAUUAUCUUGAGGAGCUUGCGAACUCAAGGAUGGACGCCACGCGAGAUCAUGUACAUCAAUUACAUAGGAGAUCUGUUUCUCAGAAUGCUGAAGAGUUUGAUUUUACCUCUUAUCAUAUCCAGUCUAGUCUCAGCAAUUGGAUCCCUUGAUCUGUCAUUGAGCGGGAAAAUUGGUGUUCGUGCUAUAGUGUAUUACAUGGUCACCACGAUUAGCGCUGUUGUACUAGGUAUCAUUUUGGUAAUCACUAUCCAGCCGGGUGUGGGAAAUAAUCCUGACAUAAGGACAAAAGAACGAUCUCAAAAUGUCUCGACUAUCGAUACAUUGAUGGACUUGAUUCGGAAUAUGUUUCCCCCGAAUUUAGUAGAGGCAUGUAUCUCUCAACAUAAAACGGAAAUGCAGAAACCGGAAAACAGUACAUCAGAUAACAUGGACGAGUGGAAGCCAGUGUCAAAAAGCGUGUCAGGAACCAAUAUAAUGGGUCUCGUCGUUUUCGCCACGGUGCUUGGUAUAACAUUGGGAAAAAUGGAAGAACAAGGAAAACCGUUGCUCGUAUUCUUCGAGUCCUUGUCUGGCGCUAUGAUGAUGAUCACUCAUUGGGUGAUUUGGUUGUCGCCUAUUGGUGUACUGUUUCUAGUAGCCGCUAAAAUUACGGAAAUGCAAUCGUUGGACGAAAUAGUUUCCCAAUUGGGAAUGUACUUUCUCACCGUAUUGAUAGGCCUGUUGAUACACGGUUUCAUCGUUCUGCCUCUAUUAUAUUUUCUAAUAACGAAGAGAAAUCCAUACGUAUACAUAUCCAAUUUGGCCCAAGCGUUGGUCACAGCGUUUGGUACGUCCUCAAGCUCCGCUACUCUUCCAAUUGCUAUUAAUUGUUUGGAAGAAGGAAACAAUGUCGAUCCACGAAUUACCAGAUUCGUUUUGCCGAUCGGCGCCACUAUCAAUAUGGAUGGCACGGCUUUAUACGAAGCUGUGGCCGCGAUUUUCAUCGCGCAAGUGCGUCAAGUCAGUCUUAGUUUUGGACAGCUGGUGGCAAUCAGUCUUUGUUCAGUAUCACAGCGACUGCGGCAAGUAUCGGAGCAGCUGGAAUUCCACAAGCAGGUCUGGUUACGAUGGUAAUGGUAUUGGAUACAGUUCGCCUACCGUCCGAAGACGUAUUCCUUGUCAUUGCUGUUGAUUGGUUAUUAGAUCGUUGUAGAACAACAGUGAACGUAGUAGGUGAUUCUCUCGGGGCAGGAAUUGUGAAUUAUUUAAGCAGAAACGAACUUGCUUCGUUGCCACAUAAUGCACAGACGCAAAACGGAGCAGAUCAUCAUACUACAACAUCCAUAUGAAACCGAAGUCGAUAUUAUUAUCGGCAAGAUUUGUAAAUGCUAACAAACAAACGAAGAACGAUGAGCGUUCGUCCCCCCCCCCCUCCGAUAUUUUUCCCGGUAAACGUCGUACACUCCCACCGAACUUUAAAUUUGAAAGCGAAGACGAAGUUCAGUACAAAUAUAAUAAUAAAAUUCUUCGCAAUCAAUGAUGCAUAUAAUAGCAAAUAAUAAUAUAUCUAUUAUAUUUUAUUCUAUUCUAGUAGUCAGUCUUCAAAAAGAGACUUUAAUGAUUCUUAUACAAUAUUAUUAGAAGAAUUGAAGCAAUAUUUUUUUGUAUUUAACUAUGCUGCUGCCAGAUUCGUUCAAUUAGAGUACAAAAAAUAAUCAAAUGACACGAUCAUGUUUUAAUGGUCAUUUUUCGUUGAUUUUAAUAAUAAGUUACAAGAUCCAAUUGAAAUGAUACGAAAAAAUACAAGAGUUGAAAGAUUUGAAGAUUUGAUUUUGUUAAGUUCAUUUAAAUAUGUAAAAA
rnacentral:misc_RNA from 1 species